AGCCCGGUGGUGUAGCGGAAGCAUCCCAGGCUCUGGCCCUGGGGGUCGUGGGUUCGAAUCCCACCCGGGCUACCA
rnacentral:tRNA from 1 species